CUCGAAGGAUAAAUUGAAAUGUCAUGGUCAUGUCAACAAAAAACCGAACGACGCCGUUAGUUUGAUUAGUGCUAUGGUUGAAAGAUGGAGACCAGAAACGCAUACUUUUCAUCUCCCAAUAGGUGAGUGCACAAUAACUUUAGAAGACGUGUACUAUAUUUUAGGAUUAAAAGUGUCUGGUUUUCCGGUUCAAAUUUUGUGAAUGUGAAAGAUGUUUGUCAAGAAUAUUUAGGAGUUAUCCCACCUGAGGGAGCAACAAAGGGUAAUUUUAUUAAAUUAAAAUGGCUUAAAGAUACUUUUGACAAUGUUGGUGAAAACGCAUCGGAAGUAGAAAAACAAGCAUCAUGUCGAGCAUAUAUAUUACGUAUGAUUGGAGGAUUGUUGAUGCCAGACAAAUCCAAUAAUCGUGUACAUCUAAAAUAUCUUUCAAUCUUGGGCGAUUUAAAUAAAGCAUCCCAUUAUAGUUGGGGUUCGGCAGUUUUAGCAACACUUUAUAGAGAAUAAUACAUUGCUACGAAACCCCCGAUGUAAUGUCGAUGAGAGGAUGUGCAUUGUUGUUGCAAAAUUGGGCAUGGUAUCGUUUGACUUGUGUUGCUCCGGAUGCACCCAGUGCAUGGAUAUUUCCACUUGCACAAAGAUUUAAUUCCGGGGGUCUAAAUUUUAGUAGAGUUCCUCACAAUGAUAUAGAAGGAUACCAGAAUACUAUCGAUCAUAUGAUGGUUCAGGAAUUUCGUUGAAGACCGUAUCUCGGGUUCCAACACGAGGUACCCGAACAAGAGAUCAACACUUGGACUUCAUGUACCUAUCUGCACUGUUAUCAUAUCGUCGAAAAACAUCAUGCAGAUAGAGUUGCACUUCAGUUCGGCUUUCAUCGACAAAUUCCGCAAUCUCUAGAAGAUAUGACGCUCUACCAUGAGAUCGACAUGAGGUGUGGCGUCGAUGAUAAUUGGAGUGUGGUUUGGAAAGAUGAGAUUCAACAUUGGAAUGAACAUCAUAAUUACAUAUUGCAAGGUCAAUACGUUGAAGGUGUUUUAUGCCACACUAAAGAAUAUAUAUGAAUUGGUUCAGACAUCACACUAAAUUAUAUAUAUUUGUGGAAAGAUACUUGCGUGAUCCACGUUUGCAACCUUCAACAUAUCCCGAUGUUCACUCUAUGCCUCAAUCAAUCCCACAACAAAAUACCAUGC